rnacentral:rRNA from 1 species
AGUGAACGCUGGCGGCAGGCCUAAUACAUGCAAGUCGAACGGCAGCACAGCAGAGCUUGCUCUGUGGGUGCGAGUGGCGGACGGGUGAGGAAUACAUGGGAAUCUGCCCAGUCGUGGGGGAUAACGUAUGGAAACGUACGCUAAUACCGCAUGCGCCCUACGGGGGAAAGUCGGGGACCGCAAGGCCUGACGCGAUUGGAUGAGCCCAUGUUCGAUUAGCUAGUUGGCGGGGUAAAGGCCCACCAAGGCGACGAUCGAUAGCUGGUCUGAGAGGAUGGAUCAGCCACACUGGAACUGAGACACGGUCCAGACUCCUACGGGAGGCAGCAGUAGGGAAUAUUGGACAAUGGGGGCAACCCUGAUCCAGCCAUGCCGCGUGAGUGAAGAAGGCCCUCGGGUUGUAAAGCUCUUUUGUCCGGAAAGAAAAGCAUCUGGUUAAUACCCGGGUGUUCUGACGGUACCGGAAGAAUAAGCACCGGCUAACUUCGUGCCAG